rnacentral:rRNA from 1 species
GUGCCCGCUGCCGCGUGUAAUACGGAGGUUACAAGCGUUAAUCGGAAUUACUGGGCGUAAAGCGCACGCAGGCGGUCUGUCAAGUCGGAUGUGAAAUCCCCGGGCUCAACCUGGGAACUGCAUUCGAAACUGGCAGGCUAGAGUCUUGUAGAGGGGGGUAGAAUUCCAGGUGUAGCGGUGAAAUGCGUAGAGAUCUGGAGGAAUACCGGUGGCGAAGGCGGCCCCCUGGACAAAGACUGACGCUCAGGUGCGAAAGCGUGGGGAGCAAACAGGAUUAGAUACCCUGGUAGUCC